GAUUUAGCAUGCUGCGCACGAGUUCAGACUCGUGGCGAAUAGCUCAGUAACACGUGGCCAAACUACCCUUCGGACUACAAUACCCUCGGGAAACUGAGGCUAAUAGUAGAUACCACAGUCCACCUGGAAUGAGGACUGUGCUAAAUGCUCCGGCGCCGAAGGAUGUGGCUGCGGCCGAUUAGGUAGACGGUGGGGUAACGGCCCACCGUGCCAAUAAUCGGUACGGGUCAUGAGAGUGAGAACCCGGAGACGGAAUCUGAGACAAGAUUCCGGGCCCUACGGGGCGCAGCAGGCGCGAAACCUUUACACUGCACGACAGUGCGAUAAGGGAAUCCCAAGUGCGUAGGCAUAGAGCCUACGCUUUUGUCCACCGUAGGGAGGUGGACGAAUAAGGGCUGGGCAAGACCGGUGCCAGCCGCCGCGGUAAUACCGGCAGCCCGAGUGAUGGCCGAUCUUAUUGGGCCUAAAGCGUCCGUAGCUGGCCGCACAAGUCCAUCGGAAAAUCCACCCCCCUCAACGGGUGGGCGUCCGGUGGAAACUGUGUGGCUUGGGACCGGAAGGCGCGACGGGUACGUCCGGGGUAGGAGUGAAAUCCUGUAAAUCCUGGACGGACCGCCGAUGGCGAAAGCACGUCGCGAGAACGGAUCCGACAGUGAGGGGACGAAAGCUAGGGUCUUCGAACCGAAUAAAAUACCCGGGUAGUCCCUAGCCGUAAACAAUGCCCUGCUAGGUGUGGCUUCCCCACUACGAGUGGGUGCUUGUGCCGUAAGGAAGCCGCUUAAGCAAGGCCCGCCUGGGAAGUACGUCCGGCAAGGGAUGAAAACUUUAAAGGAAUUUGGCGGGGGGAAGAACUACAAACCCGGAAGAGCCUUGCGGUUUAAUUUGGAACUCUACGCCCGGAACAUCUCACCAGCAUCCGACUUGUAAUAAAUGA
rnacentral:rRNA from 1 species